CAGUCGAACGAUGAAGUCCUAGCUUGCUAGGAUGGAUUAGUGGCGCACGGGUGAGUAAUAUAUAGUUAAUCUGCCCUACACAGAGGAACAACAGUUGGAAACGGCUGCUAAUACCUCAUACUCCUAUUUAACAUAAGUUAAAUAGGGAAAGUCUUUUCGGUGUAGGAUGAGACUAUAUCGUAUCAGCUAGUUGGUAAGGUAAUGGCUUACCAAGGCUAUGACGCGUAACUGGUCUGAGAGGAUGAUCAGUCACAUUGGAACUGAGACACGGUCCAAACUCCUACGGGAGGCAGCAGUAAGGAAUAUUGCGCAAUGGGGGAAACCCUGACGCAGCAACGCCGCGUGGAGGAUGACACUUUUCGGAGCGUAAACUCCUUUUAUCAGGAAAGAAUAAUGACGGUACCUGAUGAAUAAGCACCGGCUAACUCCGUGCCAGCAGCCGCGGUAAUACGGGGGGUGCAAGCGUUACUCGGAAUCACUGGGCGUAAAGGACGCGUAGGCGGAUUAUCAAGUCUUUUGUGAAAUCUAGUGGCUUAACCACUAAACUGCUUAGGAAACUGAUAGUCUAGAGUAGGGGAGAGGUAGAUGGAAUUCUUGGUGUAGGGGUAAAAUCCGUAGAGAUCAAGAAGAAUACCCAUUGCGAAAGCGAUCUGCUGGAACCUAACUGACGCUGAGGCGUGAAAGCGUGGGUAGCAAACAGGAUUAGAUACCCUGGUAGUCCACGCCCUAAACGAUGUAUACUAGUUGUUGCUUUGCUAGUCAAGGCAGUAAUGCAGCUAACGCAUUAAGUAUACCGCCUGGGGAGUACGGUCGCAAGAUUAAAACUCAAA
rnacentral:rRNA from 1 species